UAUUAUGUUAUUGAAAACUUUAGCUAUCAGAAUCAGAUAGAGACAGGGUUAAAACAGAGCUAAUUACUUGCACCAGAAUCAAAGUUUUUAUAGUAAGAA